UUAUUCAUAUUCUAGAUGAUU
rnacentral:piRNA from 1 species